AUUGUCUCCCUGUGGCAAUUGCCUAUUAAUGCUGGCCUGCACCAAGAUUGGACUAAACGGUCCAUUCUCAGAAGUGAUGAAAGCCCUGGAGAUCAGACCUGAAAUGACACACUUCUUGUACCCACCUUGACUCACCGCGUGGGCUACGCCGCAGGCUCAUGUCCCAGCACCCAAGAACAGCAUUCUCCGAUUCCAGUCCAGGGCUCCAGAACCUACUUCAAAAUGGGACAGGAUCCCUCCAGCUCCCCCACCAUAACCAUGCACACAGCCCUCCUCUUCCAGGGGCAGAAGUCAAUGUAGACACAGAAAACCAAUCCAAGGACAGAGACCACCGGGAUAAUUUAAUUCUGUUUUUCAGCGGUCACCACCAGAACCCAGGAUGUCCAGCUCAUCCCUUAUCUCCAAUUCUCUUCUUUGUACAGCUCAGAUGUCACCUAUCAGUGAGGCUACCCCUGGAAAAGUACAGCCUCCCCACCAUUUCCUCCUACCCCCGCCCCGCCACACCCUAUUGAAUGCAGUCUACUUUUCCGCCAAGAAAAGUUUCAGAAAAGCACUUCUUCUCCCAAAUUCUCUUGAGAUGUGACUCAGACAAUGUCACCCUGCCAACUUCUUGGAGUCCUUCCUUCAGGAAACCAGACUUCCGGCCCCUCCCCCAGUUCUGGGAGCCAAGGAGCUCUGUUGGGUCAGUAGGAUCAUUGUGGGAAGCAGCCAUCAUCACAUCCCUCAUGUGGGGGCCAGCACAGCAGUUAGGACAAGGCAAUUGUCAAAGAUCCCCAUCAGCCAAAUUCGGAGCCCCUUGGACGCGUGGAAUAGUAAUGAGGUAUAAACCUCUGCUUGUUCCCCCAGUCUCCAGCCCAGGUUGCAGAGGACCCACAGACAUGCCGAACAGGAAAGCUGCAGAACAAGGGAAGCAGCUUCUGAUUGGGAAAGUGAAAGGCACCACAAGCCAAAAAGCUCCAAUUACUUGUAGGGGCUGGCCUGGGAGGCCACAGCCAACUGCUUUCAGCUGGGAGACAUUGGAGAGCGUGUGGAGACAUGGAAAGUGAAAUCAGACCCUUCUGUUCCUCUGGCCUCCCACGCUGUUGGCUGCUGCUCAUUCAGUCACCCACCCCAAGGAGGAAGUCACCUGCUGCCCCCGCCACAAACACUUCCUAGACCCAGGGAUCACAGAGUAAGACCAGCACUUCUUCCAGGCCUGCUCACCUGCUGCUGGGAAGGGGCCUCACCUACCUCUUUGGCCCCUUUUCCCUGGUGCCACCAGAUCCCCAGGCUGAAAGCUUCAAGCCCAGUAGGCACCCGGGCACUGUGGUGGACAUUGCCAGGCUGCUGAUGGAGCAGGAAGAGGCAGGGUCCUUGCUCUUCAAGGUCCAUCAGAAGCACCUGGAGGACAUAAAGCUGUUGGCAAGCACCAGGAGGCCCACACUCUGCAAGGUUUGCCCAGCCAGCUGAGCAGAGUGAGGGUCCCCAUUCACAUGGGUCAGCACACG